rnacentral:rRNA from 1 species
GACGAACGCUGGCGGCGUGCCUAAUACAUGCAAGUAGAACGCACAGUUUAUACCGUAGCUUGCUACACCAUAGACUGUGAGUUGCGAACGGGUGAGUAACGCGUAGGUAACCUGCCUGGUAGCGGGGGAUAACUAUUGGAAACGAUAGCUAAUACCGCAUAAUAUUGAUUAUUGCAUGAUAAUUAAUUGAACGGUGCAAUUGCACCACUACCAGAUGGACCUGCGUUGUAUUAGCUAGUAGGUGAGGUAACGGCUCACCUAGGCGACGAUACAUAGCCGACCUGAGAGGGUGAUCGGCCACACUGGGACUGAGACACGGCCCAGACUCCUACGGGAGGCAGCAGUAGGGAAUCUUCGGCAAUGGACGAAAGUCUGACCGAGCAACGCCGCGGGAGUGAAGAAGGUUUUCGGAUCGUAAAGCUCUGUUGUAAGAGAAGAACGGGUGUGAGAGUGGAAAGUUCACACUGUGACGGUAUCUUACCAGAAAGGGACGGCUAACUACGUG